GGAUGCGAUUAUACCAGCAUUAAUGCACCGGAUCCCAUCAGAAAUCUGCAGUUAAGCGUGCUUGGGCGAGAGUUGUACUAGGAUGGGUGACCUACAGGAAAGUCCUCGUGUUGCAUUCC
rnacentral:rRNA from 1 species